rnacentral:misc_RNA from 1 species
GUGAAUCAUCGAAUUUUUGAACGCAAAUUGCACUCUCUUCGGAGAGUAUGCCUGUUUGAGGGUCAGCCUAAAAAAAAAUCGACAUAGUCGCUGUUUCGCGGUUUCUUUCGUCGGAAAUUGGGUCAUCUUUAACCUUUGUGUUUUAAGUGGCUUAAACUUUUCUUUACGAUUUCAUGAACGUCUCUUAGAUUUUCUUUUUUUACGUUUAAGGUAUCGAUCUUUAUUAGACGUGGCCGUUGCUUUGG